rnacentral:tmRNA from 1 species
GGGGCCGAAGAUUAAGCUCGACGAAUGGAAUUUAACAAAUUGAAAUGGCAGGCCGGGUUUAUCUGCACGUUAGCCGGAUAAACAAGUAGAUGCAAAAACAUCACUUCGCGAAAAAGUAGCUGUCUUGAAUCCGUUCAAGCAACUGGCAUUCGCACCAGCUUUAGUUUAAUACUAAAGCCGUGCUUCUUCUGACACCAGAUAGUUAGAUAGCGCGCCAUAUCAUCUGGUUGCUCGUUUCUGAUGAUCCAUCAGAAACGUUAAGCUUUAGGGUUGCAGCAACGGUUUAUUUUGUCCGCUUAAACAAUCGUUGCUAAAGAAAAUUUCAAACGGAAUAAGCCUGUAGUCAUCAAAUUUGUUACCAAUCGGACCCGGAUGUAAUCUCCGGCGGCUCCACCA